rnacentral:rRNA from 1 species
ACUGCUCAGUAACACGUGGACAACCUGCCCUAAGGAGGGGGAUAACCCCGGAAAACUGGGGAUAAUACCCCAUAGCCUACAGUCGCUGGAAUGCCCUGUAAGCGAAAGGUCCGCCGCCUUAGGAUGGGUCUGCGGCUGAUUAGGUUGUUGUUGGGGUAACGGCCCAACAAGCCUAUAAUCAGUACGGGUUGUGGGAGCAAGAACCCGGAGAUGGAUUCUGAGACACGAAUCCAGGCCCUACGGGGCGCAGCAGGCGCGAAAACUUUACAAUGCGAGAAAUCGUGAUAAGGGAACCCCGAGUGCCCGUAAAAUCGGGCUGUUAAUCUGUUUAAAACACAGGUGGAGAAAGGGCCGGGCAAGACCGGUGCCAGCCGCCGCGGUAAUACCGGCGGCUCGAGUGGUGGCCACUAUUACUGGGCUUAAAGCGUCCGUAGCUGGAUUGUUAAGUCUCUUGGGAAAUCUACCGGCUUAACCGAUAGGCGUUCAAGGGAUACUGGCAAUCUAGGGACCGGAAGAGGUGAGAGGUACUCCAGGGGUAGGAGUGAAAUCCUGUAAUCCUUGGGGGACCACCUGUGGCGAAGGCGUCUCACCAGAACGGCUCCGACAGUGAGGGACGAAAGCUGGGGGAGCAAACCGGAUUAGAUACCCGGGUAGUCCCAGCUGUAAACGAUGUGCGUUAGGUGUAUCGGUGACCACGAGUCACCGAGGUGCCGAAGAGAAAUCGUGAAACGUACCGCCUGGGAAGUACGGUCGCAAGGCUGAAACUUAAAGGAAUUGGCGGGGGAGCAC